ensembl:lncRNA
GUCCGGGCUUGUGGGAAGGUUAGGUUCUUGCCUGGGUAGCUGUAGUAGAGACUGACCUGAUGGCAAUCCCUGGGCUACUGGAAAUAUCCAGAAGUCUGAAUUCAGAUGGAUGCAGAUAGAAAUUCCUUGGAUUACAGACAUAAUAUGAGCAUUUGAGGAGUGUGUGUAACACUGGCCUUGCUGCGAUUCAAGCUGAUCCUGUAAAUAAGCUGAUAAAAUGUUGUUUAGAAUUGAUCUCCCUACGUUUCAUUACCUGACCAAUCUGAAAAUGCCCUAUUUAUUCUCACCACUAGGUGCUGCUAGUGGUUCACCAGCUGGAAGUGAAGGUCUCUAAAGGCACUUGGGAAUCUGCAUUGAUGUCUGUUCUCCUCACAUAAGGAGACCAGUGUUCUCUGCCAGCGCCUUGAAGAGCUGAAAACCUGUAUCUAGUGAGAGGGAAUCCACUAGGCUCUUUAGAGAGCCUCUGGUUGAGUUACAUCAUCACCUUCAGAGAUCUUCCUGUGGUAGAACUGCCAGUUUCUCUGCACAGCUGUGACAUGCUGUACUGGGUGUUCUCAGCUGUGCGUGCUGAGAUGGUGUGGUGAAAUACUGGGGGUGAGGAGACACAUUCCCUUCCCUCUUGUUUUGCCUAACUCGUUCUCAAAAUACACUAUUUCUCCUCCGUCUUCCAGGACCUACGGUGAGCUGACCCCAAUUUUACUGUUUGAGGGGGAGCAAUCUUUGGGGGAGGGUGGGGGGGUGUGAAAGAGGCAAAACAGGAGGCCUCGGUUUUUCAACAGGAAAGAAAAUGCUUUGCUUCUGCCAGCUGUUGUUGUUUUCCUUACUCUGUUGUUUCCUCUGAGUGUGCUGUGACUUCUUUGUUCUCUGGAGAAAACAAACUUUGUGGGGAGAGCAGCCUUUAUUAAUGAAAGCAAACAGCCGCUGCUUUGUUAAUGACUGUAUGAUGCCCUGAUAAUGUUUUGCAAACAUAAUUCCUGCUAUGCUGGAAGGAGUUUCAUGACUGGAAGUUGGAGAGCAGAGAUGGCUUGUGGAGGUUAUUGGGCUUAUGGUGGUUUGGAUAUACAUGCUGCAUUUCGUUGUGCAAUGAUUGAAAGCAGAACUCCAGGAGAUCAAGAAGGCAACUAAAGCAAGUGUUAUGUA